AUGUCCAUGAGCAUAAAGCUUUCAUACAUCCAAUCAACAAAAUACAACUAAGUAACCUAAUAGAAAAUGAUGAAAUCAGUGAGAAUGGGCAUCGAGCUUAAGAUCAAGAUCGGUGAAACAUGAUCAGCCUCAUCCUCGAUCGAAAGGUCUGGUCUGAGAAGAAGAUGACGGAGGACAGAAAGCAAUGAGCUAAAUAAAGGCUGGCUCACU
rnacentral:lncRNA from 1 species